GAUGAACGCUAGCGGGAGGCUUAACACAUGCAAGUCGAGGGGCAGCAUAGGGUAGCAAUACUCUGAUGGCGACCGGCAAACGGGUGAGUAACGCGUAUGCAACCUACCCUGUACAGGGGGAUAACCCGGAGAAAUUCGGACUAAUAUCCCGUAAUAAUAUCCGGAGGCAUCUUUGGAUAUUUAAAGUUCCGACGGUACGGGAUGGGCAUGCGUAACAUUAACUGGUUGGUAAGGUAACGGCUUACCAAGGCUAUGAUGUUUAGGGGUCCUGAGAGGGUGGUCCCCCACACUGGUACUGAGACACGGACCAGACUCCUACGGGAGGCAGCAGUGAGGAAUAUUGGUCAAUGGGCGCAAGCCUGAACCAGCCAUCCCGCGUGCAGGAAGACGGCCCUAUGGGUUGUAAACUGCUUUUCCAGGGAGAGAAACUUACGCACGUGUUGCGUGACUGACGGUACCCUGGGAAUAAGCAUCGGCUAACUCCGUGCCAGCAGCCGACGGUAAACACGAGAGUA
rnacentral:rRNA from 1 species